rnacentral:rRNA from 1 species
AUUGAACGCUGGCGGCAGGCCUAACACAUGCAAGUCGAGCGGAUGAAGGGAGAUUGCUCCUGGAUACAGCGGCGGACGGGCGAGUAAUGCCUAGGAAUCUGCCUGGCAGUGGGGGAUAACGUCCGGAAACGGGCGCUAAUACCGCAUACGUCCUGAGGGAGAAAGUGGGGGAUCUUCGGACCUCACGCUAUCAGAUGAGCCUAGGUCGGAUUAGCUAGUUGGUGGGGUAAAGGCCUACCAAGGCGACGAUCCGUAACUGGUCUGAGAGGAUGAUCAGUCACACUGGAACUGAGACACGGUCCAGACUCCUACGGGAGGCAGCAGUAGGGAAUAUUGGACAAUGGGCGAAAGCCUGAUCCAGCCAUGCCGCGUGAGUGAAGAAGGUCUUCGGAUUGUAAAACACUUUAAUUUGGGAGGAAGGGCAGUGAAUUAAUACCUUGCUGUUUUGACGUUACCAACAGAGUAAGCACCGGCCAACUUCGUG